CAGCAGGAAGCCGUCAGAACAGAAAACUGAUCGCAGACGUAAACCUCUUCAGGGACGUCAUUCUCCUGGGCCAAGAGACAAUAGAUUAAAAAAAUGUUUGAAACUCAGUUUUUAAAUGUGUCUUUCUGUUCUCACAGUUGGUGGAAUCAGCACGACCAGUUAAUGGUAUGUGUUCGUCUGUGCAUGACUGGUUGGAGAUGGAAGACAUCAAAGCCGGUGAAGGCCAUCAGUUGAGGUCAACUGCAGGACUAAUUGGUAGUUGCAAGUCCAAGCUCUGUGUACAAGAGCAGAAACCUGUGACAUUCAAACAGGUACCUAAGAGCUAAGCCUUCCACCAUUUUCCUGAAGAGUUUCCGGCUUCAUGUAGUUUCUUCCUCUGAAACCAACCGAACCUCAUCCACAGUGUGGGAUGAUGUUCUUUGAGUCUUUAUUCUGUCAGGGUCGGUUCUGUAGUAUGAAAUGGGUUUGGUCUGGGCAGCUGUGUAUACUUGUGAUGCAGAUUAGUGGUUUUAUUUAUUGUAAACUGUUUUUAGGAGAGAUGUAGUUUGAAAUGUAAAUAAAUAUAUAAACAUACUAAGGUUCACAAAUUUCUGACAUUUACAGAUGCAUGAAAAAUUUUUCUUAUGUCUUGGAUGCAGAAAAUUAAAGCUUUUUGCAAUGAAAGCGACUUCAAGAUAUACAUGUAAAAAUGAUGUAAUAAAACACUUUAUGC